UCUCCGUUGGUGAACCAGUGGAGGGAUCAUUACCGAGUUUACAACUCCCAAACCCAAUGUGAACCAUACCAAACUGUUGCCUCGGCGGGGUCACGCCCCGGGUGCGUCGCAGCCCCGGAACCAGGCGCCCGCCGGAGGGACCAACCAAACUCUUUCUGUAGUCCCCUCGCGGACGUUAUUUUUACAGCUCUGAGCAAAAAUUCAAAAUGAAUCAAAACUUUCAACAACGGAUCUCUUGGUUCUG
rnacentral:misc_RNA from 1 species